rnacentral:tRNA from 3 species
AGGGCGGUAGCUCAAUUGGAAGAGUAGCGGUCUCCAAAACCGUCGGUUGGGGGUUCGAGUCCCCCCCGCCCUGCCA